AACUUAAAGGAAUUGACGGGGGCCCGCACAAGCGGUGGAUCAUGUUGUUUAAUUCGAUGAUACGCAAAGAACCUUACCAGGUCUUGACAUCCCCCGCGAUGCUUUAGAGAUAAAGCGGAGGUAUUCGGGGAGACAGGUGGUGCAUGGUUGUCGUCAGCUCGUGUCGUGAGAUGUUGGGUUAAGUCCCGCAACGAGCGCAACCCCUAUUGCUAGUUACCAUCAUUAAGUUGGGGACUCUAGCGAGACUGCCAGUGAUAAACUGGAGGAAGGUGGGGAUGACGUCAAAUCAUCAUGCCCCUUAUGACCUGGGCUACAAACGUGAUACAAUGGCCGGUACAACGGGCAGCGAAGGAGCGAUCCGGAGCGAAUCCUAAAAAGCCGGUCCCAGUUCGGAUUGCAGGCUGAAACUCGCCUACAUGAAGUUGGAGUUGCUAGUAAUCGCGAAUCAGGAUGUCGCGGUGAAUGCGUUCCCGGGUCUU
rnacentral:rRNA from 1 species